AGGAAAUGUCAGCUUCCACAACAAAAGAAUGUAAAACACACUUACAAGGUCUCAUCUUAGCUAUCAGAGGCUUCAACAUCAGAUUUAGUAAAGAACACAAGGUCACAGCAUGCUAUAGUACAAUCAGAUCAUAUUAACCUGGGUUACUUUCUCAUUACAGAUGAAUUAACUAAGUCAUGCUUCAAAUUAAUGAUAGUAAAUGAACUAUGCAUUUAUUAAUUAAUUUUAAAUACACAGAGGAAAAUAUUAAAACAAUUUGCUGUGCAGAUCAAAACAGUAUUUCAGAGUAUUUUGUGUAACACACUUUGUUACAGCUUCACCAAUAAAGUUUUGUGAUAUUUGAUCAUUCACAUGUUUCCAUCCAGUUCUUUAAAUUGUUCUGAUUCAGUCAUUUUUACUUUUAUGUUCUUGUUCUAAACUGAACUGCAGCGAAACCAAAGGCUGAACUGAGAGCUGAUAGGACAGCUGAUCCAGUAGGGGGCAGUGUGACCCUGACCUGCUCUGUGAGCCCAUCAUCAUCACCAUCAUCAUCAUCUGAAUGGAAAUACUACUGGGAAAGAUAUGACAGGUAUUAUACACUUGUGACCUCACCGGAUGCAGUGUUUCUAUCAAAUGAACAAAUCAGUGUCUCAGAGGGAGGACGCUACAGGUGCAUAGGAGGAAGAGGAGAACCAGUUUACUACACAGAGGACAGUGAUUCAGUUAGAAUUGUGUCAAACAGGCCUGUUGUGACUCUGUAUCCAAACUGGUCUGAGAUAUACAGAGGAGAGACGAUCACUGUCAGAUGUGAGAUCCAUGGAGGAGACACUGAGUGGGAUUAUGAGUGGGAAACAAACAGCAUGAUAAAAGCUCCAAA